rnacentral:rRNA from 1 species
GUAGGGGCCGAGCGUUGUCCGGAGUUACUGGGCGUAAAGCGCGCGCAGGCGGCUGGUCAAGCCCGACGUGAAAGCCCCCGGCUCAACCGGGGAGGGUCGUCGGGGACUGGCCGGCUUGAGGGCGGCAGGGGCUGGUGGAAUUCCCGGUGUAGUGGUGAAAUGCGUAGAGAUCGGGAGGAACACCCGUGGCGAAGGCGGCCAGCUGGGCCGACCCUGACGCUGAGGCGCGAAGGCGUGGGGAGCGAACGGGAUUAGAUACCCCGGUAGUCCACGCAGUAAACGAUGCAGACUAGGCGUGGGGGGACUUGACCCCCUCCGGGCCGCAGCCAACGCGACAAGUCUGCCGCCUGGGGAGUACGGCCGCAAGGCUAAA